rnacentral:rRNA from 1 species
UACGGGGGGGGCAAGCGUUGUUCGGAAUUACUGGGCGUAAAGGGCUCGUAGGCGGCCAACUAAGUCAGACGUGAAAUCCCUCGGCUUAACCGGGGAACUGCAUCUGAUACUGGAUGGCUUGAGUUCGGGAGAGGGAUGCGGAAUUCCAGGUGUAGCGGUGAAAUGCGUAGAUAUCUGGAGGAGCACCGGUGGCGAAGGCGGCAUCCUGGACCGACACUGACGCUGAGGAGCGAAAGCCAGGGGAGCAAACGGG